rnacentral:rRNA from 1 species
GUCAGCCGCCGCGGUAACACCGGCAGCUCUAGUGGUAGCUGUUUUAUUGGGCCUAAAGCGUUCGUAGCCGGUUGAUAAGUCACUGGUGAAAUCCUGUAGCUUAACUGUGGGAAUUGCUGGUGAUACUGUUGAACUUGAGGUCGGGAGAGGUUAGCGGUACUCCCAGGGUAGAGGUGAAAUUCUGUAAUCCUGGGAGGACCACCUGUGGCGAAGGCGGCUAACUGGAACGAACCUGACGGUGAGGGACGAAAGCUAGGGGCGCGAACCGGAUUAGAUACCCGGGUAGUCCUAGCCGUAAACGAUGCGGACUUGGUGUUGGGAUGGCUUUGAGCCGCUCCGGUGCCGAAGGGAAGCUGUUAAGUCCGCCGCCUGGGAAGUACGGUCGCAAGACUGAACUUAAAGGAAUUGGCGGGGGAGCACCACAACGCGUGGAGCCUGCGGUUUAAUUGGAUUCAACGCCGGACAUCUCACCAGGAGCGACAGCUGUAUGAUUACCAGGCUGAUGACCUUGUUUGACUAGCUGAGUAGUGGUGCAUGG